rnacentral:rRNA from 1 species
CAGUAGCCACGGUAAUACGUAGGUCCCGAGCGUUGUCCGGAUUUAUUGGGCGUAAAGCGAGCGCAGGCGGAUUGUUAAGUCUGAGGUUAAAGGCUGUGGCUCAACCAUAGUUCGCUUUGGAAACUGUCAAACUUGAGUGCAGAAGGGGAGAGUGGAAUUCCAUGUGUAGCGGUGAAAUGCGUAGAUAUAUGGAGGAACACCGGUGGCGAAAGCGGCUCUCUGGUCUGUAACUGACGCUGAGGCUCGAAAGCGUGGGGAGCGAACAGGAUUAGAUACCCCAGUAGUCCCUGUCUCUUAUACA